AGAAUCAACGCUGGCGGCGUGCCUAACACAUGCAAGUCGAACGCGAAAGCCCCGAAAGGGGCAAGUAGAGUGGCAAACGGGUGAGUAACACGUGGGUGACCUGCCUUCGAGCGGGGGAUAACGUCCCGAAAGGGACGCUAAUACCGCAUAACAUCCUGCCUUUGAAGAGGUAGAGAUCAAAGCUGGGGAUCGCAAGACCCGGCACUUGAAGAGGGGCCCGCGUCUGAUUAGCUAGUUGGUGGGGUAACGGCCUACCAAGGCAACGAUCAGUA
rnacentral:rRNA from 1 species